UACGUAGGGGGCAAGCGUUGUCCGGAAUCAUUGGGCGUAAAGCGCGUGUAGGCGGCUUCGUCAGUCCGUUGUGAAAGUCCAGGGCUCAACCCUGGAAUGCCGAUGGAUACUGCGGAGCUAGAGUCCGGAAGAGGCGAGUGGAAUUCCUGGUGUAGCGGUGAAAUGCGCAGAUAUCAGGAGGAACACCAAUGGCGAAGGCAGCUCGCUGGGACGGUACUGACGCUGAGACGCGAAAGCGUGGGGAGCAAACGGG
rnacentral:rRNA from 1 species